GAUGAAGAACGCAGCGAAAUGCGAUAAGUAAUGCGAAUUGCAGAAUCCGUGAGUCAUCGAAUCUUUGAACGCACAUUGCGCCCGCCAGUAUUCUGGCGGGCAUGCCUGUUCGAGCGUCAUUUCAACCAUCAAGCCCCCGGGCUUGUGUUGGGGUCCUGCGGCUGCCGCAGGCCCUGAAAAGCAGUGGCGGGCUCGCUGUCACACCGAGCGUAGUAGAUUUUAUCUCGCUCAGGGCGUGCUGCGGGUUCCGGCCGUUAAACCACCUUCAUAACCCAAGGUUGACCUCGGAUCAGGUAGGAAGACCCGCUGAACUUAAGCAUAUCAAUAAGCGGAGGA
rnacentral:misc_RNA from 1 species